rnacentral:antisense_RNA from 1 species
GGGUGCUCAGGCUGGCUGGCUUGGGCAUGAUGCAAAGGCUGGUCAGAUGAAUGCCCCCCUAAGUUAAUUCCAUUUAACCUCGGGGGAGGCUGCAAUCAAGACCCAACAGCCUGAUUGUAGCCUCUUCCCUAUAAGGAGGCAAUUAUG